AGCAAUUUGGCGCAGUGGAAGCGCGCCGGGCUCAUAACCCGGAGGUCCUAGGAUCGAAACCUAGAAUUGCUA